GUCUCGGAUGGCGCAGUGGCUACCGCACUUGCCUAGUAAGCAGGAGGUCCCGGGUUCGAAUCCCGGCCCGGUACG
rnacentral:tRNA from 1 species